CACCGCUUUUUUUCUUUUUCUCAC
rnacentral:miRNA from 1 species